UGUUGAGCUGCCCCAUUCUUUGCUUGUAGCGCGUGGAAACCUCCCUCCAUCAUCAACAGUGUAAGCUAUAAAUUUAUUGGCCUCUGGUGUACAGGUUCACAGCUGAUCAGGAAGAAAAAUCCAUCAAUAUUUAUUGGGGCUUUGGCAAAUAAAAAUCUGUUGUAUAGUUUAGGUGGGUGUAAAUAUUUCCAUUGUUCAUCCUCUCUUCUGGUGUGUUCAUCUUUCUUUAUCUCAUCGUUCCAAUUUGUAAAAG
rnacentral:misc_RNA from 1 species